CAACAGGGAUUGCCUUAGUAGCGGCGAGUGAAGCGGCAAAAGCUCAAAUUUGAAAUCUGGCACUUUCAGUGUCCGAGUUGUAAUUUGAAGAAGGUAUCUUUGGGUCUGGCUCUUGUCUAUGUUUCUUGGAACAGAACGUCCCAGAGGGUGAGAAUCCCGUGCGAUGAGAUGUCCCAGACCUAUGUAAAGUUCCUUCGAAGAGUCGAGUUGUUUGGGAAUGCAGCUUUAAGUGGGUGGUAAAUUCCAUCUAAAGCUAAAUAUUGGCGAGAGACCGAUAGCGAACAAGUCCAGUGAUGGAAAGAUGAAAAGAACUUUGAAAAGAGAGUGAAAAAGUACGUGAAAUUGUUGAAAGGGAAGGGCUUGAGAUCAGACUUGGUAUUUUGUAUGUUACUCUCUCGGGGGUGGCCUCUACAGUUUACCGGGCCAGCAUCAGU
rnacentral:rRNA from 1 species